GACGAACGCUGGCGGCGUGCUUAACACAUGCAAGUCGAGCGGUAAGGCCCUUUCGGGGGUACACGAGCGGCGAACGGGUGAGUAACACGUGGGUGACCUGCCCUUAGCUCUGGGAUAAGCCUGGGAAACUGGGUCUAAUACCGGAUAUGACUCCAUAACGCAUGUUGUGGGGUGGAAAGCCUUGUGCGGCUAGGGAUGGGCCCGCGGCCUAUCAGCUUGUUGGUGGGGUGAUGGCCACCAAGGCGACGACGGGUAGCCGGCCUGAGAGGGCGACCGGCCACACUGGGACUGAGACACGGCCCAGACUCCUACGGGAGGCAGCAGU
rnacentral:rRNA from 1 species